rnacentral:siRNA from 1 species
AUGAAUGACUAUUUCCUAAUUAGC